UAAAUAAAAUUAGUUUGAUUUUUAAAUUAUUUUUAAAUAAAAGAAUAUAAAAGAUAAAAGUUUAAGUAUAAAUUAAGAAUAAAUUUAAUUAAUAUUAUAGAUAGUAAUGAAAAUGAUUUUUUAUUAUAAAAGUAAAAGUAGAUUUUAUUUAUUGUACCUUUUGUAUAAGGGUUGAUUAAAAAAAAUAUUUUAAUAUAAAUAUUUCUCGAAUUUAAUUGAUUUAUUUAAAAAUUUUAGUUAAUGUAGAAAUAUUAUUAAUAAUUUUUAAAUGGAAGUGAAAUGUUAGUCGAUUUUAAAUAUAUCUAGUUUUUUUAGAAUUGAAUUUAAUUCAGAUUUAUAAAUUAUAUGAUUUAAAUUAUUUUAUAAGUAUAAGUUUAUAAAUUAAAUAUCUUUGGGAUAAACUAGAGAUAUGAUUAAAUAAUUAAAUUUUUAAUUUAUAUAAUAGAAAUAUUCAUAAAAUUUGAAUUUUUUAAAAAAAAUGUUAUAAUUUAUAAACAUAAAAUAAAUAGAUUUUUAAUUUAAUUUUUAUAAUUAUAAAAAAAAAUUAUUUAAUUAAAAAAUAAUUGAUAUUAUGAUUAAAUUAGUAAAAAAUGAUGUAUAAUUAAUAAAUAAUUUUAAAAUUAUAUUAAGGAAUUCGACAAAAAUUUUAUUAUUAUAGUAAAAAUAUAUUCACCUGUUUAUCAAAAACAUGGCCUAUUUGAUUAAAAAUAUUAGGUCUACUCUGCCCAUUGAAAAAGAUUAAAAGGCUGCAGUAUUUUGACUGUACUAAGGUAGCAUAAUCAUUUGUUUUUUAAUUGAAAACUGGAAUGAAAGAGUGAAUGAAAUAUAAAUUGUCUCAGUAUAAUUGAUUGAAUUUAAAUUAAAAGUUAAAAUGCUUUUAUAUAUUUAUAAGACGAUAAGACCCUAUAGAAUUUAAUAAAAUUUAUUUUUUAAAAUCAUUAUGUUAAGAAAAGAUCUAAUUAAUAAAUAUAUUUUAUUGGGAGGAUAUUUAAAUUAAAAUAACUUUAAAAUAAUUUAAACAUAAAUAAAUGAGUAAGUAAUUUGAUUAUUAUUAUAAUUAUUAGAAUAAAUUACCUUAGGGAUAACAGCGUAAUAAUUUUGGAGAGUUCAUAUUGAUAAAAUUGUUUGCGACCUCGAUGUUGAAUUAUGAUAAAAUUUAAAUGGAGAGAUUUAAAUUUUUAGUCUGUUCGACUAUUAAAAUCAUACAUGAUUUGAGUUCAGAUCGGUGUAAGCCAGAUCGGUUUCUAUCUAUAAAAAAGGAAUAUUUUAUUGUACGAAAGGACUUAAAAUAUUAAAUAUUUUUAUUAUGAAUUAAUUAAUUAUUAAUUAAUUUUACUGAAUAAAAUUAAAUUAAUUGAAUUUAUAAAUAAUAGUUA
rnacentral:rRNA from 1 species